ACAUGUAUGCACUGGUUAAGGAAUGGACUUAUUUCUUUCUUUAAGUUGUCACGGAUCAUUCCAUAAAUUUUCUCAACGCAUGCAGUUAGGUGUUGCUUAAACAAUAGGGCUGGGUAUUUAGCGUCAAUCCUUGUUCGGACUUUUGGGCUUCCCUCAAUUCCGCUGUAUCCACUGGAAAUUUCCAUGCUUAAUGAAGUUGAGCGAAAACCCUGCUGUUGACCCUUGAUAUGUCAAUGUAAACAUGUUCAUACAUGAUUAAAAGCUUAUAUUAUGAAUGUUUACCUGUGCCAUUCUGCCAAACAAUGUUGUAGGUGAGCUGCGAUUACGAUAUGGGGACCUAGUAGGCACAUUACCAGCUUUAAUUGUGGUUUGCAAAAGGAACAGCAGAGUUGAGGCUGGGUAUUUAGCUUCAAUCCUUGUACGGACAUUUGGGCUUCCCUCAAUUCCGCUGUAUCCACUGGAAAUUGCCAUGCUUAAUGAAGUUGAGCGAAAACCCUGCUGU
rnacentral:lncRNA from 1 species